CCUACGGGAGGCAGCAGGGGGGAAUAUUGGACAAUGGGCGCAAGCCUGAUCCAGCCAUGCCGCGUGUGUGAAGAAGGCUCUAGGGUUGUAAAGCACUUUCAGUAGGGAGGAAAAGUUAGUAGUUAAUAACUGCUAGCCCUGACGUUACCUACAGAAGAAGCACCGGCAAAUUCCGUGCCAGCAGCCGCGGUAAUACGGAGGGUGCGAGCGUUAAUCGGAAUUACUGGGCGUAAAGCGCGCGUAGGCGGUUUGAUAAGCUGGAUGUGAAAGCCCCGGGCUCAACCUGGGAACUGCAUCCAGAACUGUCUGACUAGAAUACAAUAGAGGUGAGUGGAAUUUCCUGUGUAGCGGUGAAAUGCGUAGAUAUAGGAAGGAACAUCAGUGGCGAAGGCGACUCACUGGAUUGAUAUUGACGCUAAGGUGCGAAAGCGUGGGGAGCGAACAGGAUUAGAUACCCUGGUAGUCCACGCCGUAAACGAUGUCUACUAGCCGUUGGGAUCCUUGAGGUCUUAGUGGCGCAGCUAACGCAAUAAGUAGACCGCCUGGGGAGUACGGCCGCAAGGUUAAAACUCAAAUGAAUUGACGG
rnacentral:rRNA from 1 species